CAGCUCCUGGAAGGAUUGGCACUUUUUAGAAGUUUGGGAUUUUUGUCAUGGACUAUGUCGUUAGAGGAGCAUGGUCACAAUUGUGCAGAGCUGA